CGACUUACAGAGCUGGUGAAAGGUAGCUCAGGCUGAAGCAAUUUUUACGAAUGAUAUGCAGCAGUUCAUAAGUCAGUAAAUUUUGAACGGCAUCGUUGUACUUCCCAAGUAGUUUUCCCUAGUCUCAAAAGACUCUUUCUGUCUGCAAGCUGGAGGUGUCUGAAACACUUAUUAGACCUAUCAGUGUGUCAGCAGUGUUGAAGUACUUCUAUUGUCUUGGAAGGCCAGUGCGCCAUGCUGUACAAAUAAACGGAUGAACACAGCCUCUCCCUCCUUCCUAAGAGUUCCAAUUCAGACAGAAGAUGGCAGCUCUCCCUUUUCAGUCUUUUAACCCUGGGUAUUUUGUCUAGUAACAAAUCAGACUUCCUG
rnacentral:lncRNA from 1 species